GACGAACGCUGGCGGCGUGCUUAACACAUGCAAGUCGAACGGAAAGGCCCUGCUUUUGUGUGGUUCUCGAGUGGCGAACGGGUGAGUAACACGUGAGUAACCUGCCCUUGACUUUGGGAUAACUUCAGGAAACUGGGGCUAAUACCGGAUAGGAGCUCCUGCUGCAUGGUGGGGGUUGGAAAGUUUCGGCGGUUGGGGAUGGACUCGCGGGUUAUCAGCUUGUUGGUGGGGUAGUGGCUUACCAAGGCUUUGACGGGUAGCCGGCCUGAGAGGGUGACCGGGCACAUUGGGACUGAGAUACGGAGCAGACUCCUACGGGAGGCAGCAGUGGGGAAUAUUGCACAAUGGGCGGAAGCCUGAUGCAGCAACGCCGCGUGCGGGAUGACGGCCUUCGGGUUGUAAACCGCUUUCGCCUGUGACGAAGCGUGAGUGACGGUAAUGGGUAAAGAAGCACCGGCUAACUACGUG
rnacentral:rRNA from 1 species